rnacentral:rRNA from 1 species
UUGAACGCUGGCGGCAUGCUUUACACCUGCAAGUCGAACGGUAACAGGCCUUCGGGUGCUGACGAGUGGCGAGCGGGUGAGUAAUGCAUCGGAACGUACCCAGAGGUGGGGGAUAACGCAGCGAAAGCUGUGCUAAUACCGCAUGUGAUCUGAGGAUGAAAGCGGGGGACCGAGCAGCAAUGUUUGGCCUCGCGCCUUUGGAGCGGCCGAUGUCGGAUUAGCUAGUUGGUGGGGUAAAGGCCUACCAAGUCGACGAUCCGUAGCUGGUCUGAGAGGACGACCAGCCACACUGGGACUGGGACACGGCCCAGACUCCUACGGGAGGCAGCAGUGGGGAAUUUUGGACAAUGGGCGCAAGCCUGAUCCAGCAAUGCCGCGUGCGGGAAGAAGGCCUUCGGGUUGUAAACCGCUUUUGGCAGGAACGAAACGGUGUCCGCUAAUACCGGGCGCUAAUGACGGUACCUGCAGAAUAAGCACCGGCUAACUACGUG